UCAACAAGCGGUCAAGAUGUCCAGCCACUGGCCCCAAUUCGAGGCAGACGCCGGAGACAGAGACAGGCGUACACAGUGACACAGCUCAACACGCUGGAAAAAGAGUUUUCACACAACAGAUACUUGAGCUCAGACAAGCGAGAAACUCUUUCUCAGACCCUGGGACUCACGGAGAAUCAAGUCAAAGCCUGGUUCCAGAAUAGAAGAACCAAACACAAGAAGCAGCUCGCUCAACAAGCGCUCCCAGCGGCGACCCGUCCUUUGGGCUGUGACACCGAGGACAGAAACUACACCAGCCUCCCCGGUGUCUUCGCCCCUGGUCGAGGCCACCUCUCUGUUCUGCCCCUGCUGACGUCACCGCUCUCGCCAGCCACGACCACCGCGAGGUCGCCGUUUCUCUAUCAUGGCUUCCAGGCCGCUGCCACGUCCUACUUCAAUCUGCUGCAGAAGAUGAUGCAGAUCUGACUGGUUUUGUCCUCGUGCACCUUCACUAGUUUCCAAUGUGUUGUAGAUUCAUGUAUCUCUAAGCCUCUGCUGCAGUCCAGAAAUAAAGUUCUGAUUUAAUGAAAUGGCCGUGAAGAAAAAAUAA